rnacentral:rRNA from 1 species
GACGAACGCUGGCAGCGUGCUUAACACAUGCAAGUCGAACGAUGAAGCUAGAGCUUGCUCUGGUGGAUUAGUGGCGAACGGUUGAGUAACACGUGAGUAACCUGCCCCGAACUCUGGGAUAACUGCUGGAAACGGUAGCUAAUACUGGAUACGACCACCGAAGGCAUCUUCUGUUGGUGGAAAGAAUUUCGGUUCGGGAUGGACUCGCGGCCUAUCAGCUUGUUGGUGAGGUAACGGCUCACCAAGGCGACGACGGGUAGCCGGCCUGAGAGGGUGAUCGGCCACACUGGGACUGAGACACGGCCCAGACUCCUACGGGAGGCAGCAGUGGGGAAUAUUGCACAAUGGGCGCAAGCCUGAUGCAGCAACGCCGCGUGAGGGACGACGGCCUUCGGGUUGUAAACCUCUUUUAGUAGGGAAGAAGCGAAAGUGACGGUACCUGCAGAAAAAGCACCGGCUAACUACGUGCCAGCCGCCGCUGUAA